rnacentral:rRNA from 1 species
CGGGAGGCAGCAGUGAGGAAUAUUGGUCAAUGGGCGCAAGCCUGAACCAGCCAUCCCGCGUGAAGGAAGAAGGCGCUAUGCGUUGUAAACUUCUUUUUCAGGGGAAGAAAAUCUUUUACGUGUAGAGGAUUGACGGUACCCUGUGAAUAAGCAUCGGCUAACUCCGUGCCAGCAGCCGCGGUAAUACGGAGGAUGCGAGCGUUAUCCGGAUUUAUUGGGUUUAAAGGGUGCGUAGGCGGAUUAAUAAGUCAGUGGUGAAAACCUGCAGCUUAACUGUAGAACUGCCAUUGAUACUGUUAGUCUUGAGUACGGUCAAGGUAGGCGGAAUGUGUAAUGUAGCGGUGAAAUGCUUAGAUAUUACACAGAACACCAAUUGCGAAGGCAGCUUACUGGGCCACAACUGACGCUGAGGCACGAAAGCGUGGGGAGCGAACAGGAUUAGAUACCCGGGUAGUCC